rnacentral:rRNA from 1 species
UACGGAGGGUGCAAGCAUUGAUCGGAAUUACUGGGCGUAAAGGGCGCGUAGGCGGUCCGAGAAGUCAGAUGUGAAAUUCCGGGGCUCAACCCCGGAGCUGCAUUUGAAACUUUCGAACUAGAGGGAACUUAGGGAAAACGGAAUUCCACGUGUAGCGGUGAAAUGCGUAGAUAUGUGGAAGAACACCGGUGGUGAAGACGGUUUUCUAGGGUUUUCCUGACGCUGAGGCGCGAAAGCUAGGGGAGCAAACAGG